rnacentral:rRNA from 1 species
ACGUAGGUGGCGAGCGUUAUCCGGAUUUACUGGGUGUAAAGCGCGUGCAGGCGGUGGCGUAAGGGACGUGUGAAAGCACCCGGCUUAACCGGGGGAGGCCGCGUCCGACUGUCGGACUAGAGGCAGGUAGAGGCAAGUGGAAUUCCGGGUGUAGUGGUGAAAUGCGUAGAGAUCCGGAGGAACCCCGGUGGCGAAGGCGACUUGCUGGGCCUGAACUGACGCUCAGACGCGAAAGCAUGGGGAGCGAACGG